CUGUGGUAAUUCUAGAG
rnacentral:rRNA from 1 species